rnacentral:rRNA from 1 species
GUAGGUGGGCAAGCGUUGUCCGGAAUUAUUGGGCGUAAAGCGCGCGCAGGGCGGUCCUUUAAGUCUGAUGUGAAAGCCCACGGCUCAACCGUGGAGGGUCAUUGGAAACUGGGGGACUUGAGUACAGAAGAGGAAAGCGGAAUUCCAAGUGUAGCGGUGAAAUGCGUAGAGAUUUGGAGGAACACCAGUGGCGAAGGCGGCUUUCUGGUCUGUAACUGACGCCGAGGCGCGAAAGCGUGGGGAGCAAACAGGAUUAGAUACCCUGGUAGUCCACGCCGUAAACGAUGAGUGCUAAGUGUUAGGGGGUUUCCGCCCCUUAGUGCUGCAGCUAACGCAUUAAGCACUCCGCCUGGGGAGUACGGCCGCAAAGGCUG